rnacentral:rRNA from 1 species
CACGUAGGGCGCGAGCGUUGUCCGGAAUUAUUGGGCGUAAAGAGCUCGUAGGCGGCCUGUUGCGUCCGCUGUGAAAGCCCCGGGGCUUAACCCCGGGUCGGCAGUGGAUACGGGCAGGCUAGAGGUAGGUAGGGGAGAAUGGAAUUCCCGGUGUAGCGGUGAAAUGCGCAGAUAUCGGGAGGAACACCGAUGGCGAAGGCAGGUCUCUGGGCCACUACUGACGCUGGAGAAGCGAAAGCAUGGGGAGCGAACAGG